rnacentral:rRNA from 1 species
UAAGACGUAGGAUGCGAGCGUUGUCCGGAUUUAUUGGGCGUAAAGAGUUCGUAGGUGGUUCAUUAAGUCUGGUGUUAAAGACCGGGGCCCAACCUCGGGAUCGCACUGGAUACUGGUGGACUGGAGUGCAGUAGAGGCAAGCGGAAUUCCCAGUGUAGCGGUGAAAUGCGUAGAUAUUGGGAAGAACACCGGUGGCGCAAGCGGCUUGCUGGGCUGUAACUGACACUGAGGAACGAAAGCUAGGGGAGCAAAUGGGAUUAGAUACCCCAGUAGUCCUAGCUGUAAACGAUGGAUACUAGGCGUAUCGGGUAUCGACCCCUGAUGUGCCGUAGCAAACGCGAUAAGUAUCCCGCCUGAGUAGUACGGCCGCAAGGUU